CGCGUAGGCGGUUUGUUUAGUUAGGCGUGAAAUUCCUGGGCUUAACCUGGGACUGCGCUUAAUACAGGCAGACUUGAGUUCGGAAGAGGGUCGUGGAAUUCCCAGUGUAGAGGUGAAAUUCGUAGAUAAUUGGGAAGAACACCGGUGGCGAAGGCGGCGACCUGGUCCGAUACUGACGCUGAGGCGCGAAAGCGUGGGGAGCAAACA
rnacentral:rRNA from 1 species